GAGCUUUUAAAAGUAAACGGUAAGUCGCUUUUACCAAUUACUUGCCAAAACUUAGCGCACAAUAUCGUGCAUGUUUCAACAUUAUACCAAAGCUAAUUUAUCCAAGUUUUGCAAGACUUUCCUGUUCUUCCGGUUCUUUAAAUUGUAAGCAAAAAUUGCAUGAAUAAGCCCAGUGAUAUAGAUUCUAGCAUGGGUGAAUAUCCGAGUUAUAUAUAUACUCUAACCCUAAUCCGUAGAUCGCAUACAAUGCACCCAUAUUUAAUUUACGGUUUGUUUAAGUUUUGCAUGUUUCAUGCUUUACUCCUAUAAGAUGGUAUAUCGGCACGGUUCGACAUAAGGCUGAUUCAUGCAAGUUUUUGGUCACAAAAGGCACUUGGCAGUGCCUUUUGUAAGCAAAAAUUACAUGAAUUAGCCCAAAGUCAGGAAGAUUUAAGAGUGGAUUUAUAAAACAGUUCCAAUCUUAAAACAAUAUACCCUAACCCUAAUCACUCGAUCGAAUGCGUUUUGUUGAAGCGAGGGGGAAAUGGCGGUUUGUUUACAUUCUGCAUAGCAACGGCAAGGGAAAUAACUGCUCAUGCGCAAUCGCGUGAUUUUGGGGACCGGCAUAUUAGAAACUUCCCAUAAUGUUAAGAUGUAGCCGUGGAACUAAUUUUAGAAUCAUAUACGGAAGGUUGAAUCUGAUUGGCCAAAUUUUUAUGUUUAUUCAUAAUCGAAAGGUCGCUCUGACGUGACCCCAAAUGAAGAUGUUUGAGAAGCGGUAGCGGAUUCGGAACAUCUAAUUUUAAUUAGAUUGCUAAUCUCACAACUGCUAAGCUUUGAUGUCUCAACUGCUCAAAUAUGAUGUCACAGCUUAUGACAUUGUGUUAAGAAAAGACAGAGGCAAAGGGAAAUCAAUGAAAAUUUAAUAAACAGAAAAUUCAUUGUUUUGUAGUUGGAUAUGGAAUUUGCACAUCUUUGUUCAUUUAAAACAUUUUGACUUCUUCUUACAUGUACUGGAAUGGAUGGAUCAGUUUUCCAUUAUACUUAACUUGAAAUGACUUUCGAAACUUUGAGUUCUGAAAUUCAAGGCAGCCUCAUCAUAAAAAAGAUAAGCUGUUUAAAGAGCUGGUGAAUUAUAUCAGUAUGAGGAUUUUCUUAAAAUUGAUAAACCAGCUAGCUGUGGAUGUAGAAAAGGAAACUUUCAUCAAGAGCUUAAAAGUUGCAGUUCAAGAGAGUUUGGGCAGUAUGUGACUCUUAUUUGAAGGACUUUGACCAAUUAUAUUGGAAAGAGUCAUAGAAGGCCAAACAAUGACUUCUAGCUCAUUGAAAAAAACAAAACAAAACAAAACAAACACAUUUGGACCUUUAUGAUGCAUUUAGGCCAAAAUAAUUAAUCUUUAGUUUCUCAGGGUUUUUUUCCCUUAAGUGUAAUCUCUUUUUUUUCUUGUCAGUCAAUAAAAUGGUAAUAUCAACUGAUUCUUAACUUUUGUAUACAUUUUCAUCUUAUAAAAAUAGAACAUUGAGUUAUUCUCCUUUUCAAAACAUGAAUAAGAUUGAUUGCAGAAGUGUUUGACUUGAUGCAGCAGUGCUUGAGAAACAAUAGAUCAUUUUUUUUGGCCUUAUUACUUUUUACUUUCAUGUCAGAGCAUUGUUUACUUCAACAAAUAAUAAUGUUAUGCAGAUGUGCAUCAAUAAGAUUUGAUAGCAAUUUUGUAAUAAUCAUCAAUAAAAUUGAUUAAAUUUA